rnacentral:lncRNA from 1 species
GAAAUCAUUCUGAUUGAUAGUUCUUCCAUAAGCUGUUGACUAUUUCUCCAGCUAAAACUUGAUUUACUUUAUUGCUCAUCAACCAAAUCAGAAAAACACCAUCUCUCCGCAAAUAACAAUGGAUGAAGUCCCUUUGUUUUUCAAGGUCAUGUUCAGGAAUCUUCUGGUAUUUUGAUACACGAUCUCCGUCCAUUUCCAUAAAUUUUCGAAUAUACAUUUCUGCCCGAUAUGGCAGUAUGGUUGAGACAAGAUGAUAUAUAAAGUAGAUAAAAUUUAAGAUUGCCAUAAAAACAAGAAUGAACCAGUCGAUUAUAAAAAUCAUAUCACUGUACAGGUUGAUUGGCAGCGAGCACUGUACAGUCCACCUUUGUAAAUUUGUCAUUUGUCUUAUAUCAAAAUCACAAAAGGUUACGAUCGGAAAUCUUCGAUGAUCAAAAAUUGUUUUAUCGUUAUACACACGUGACAAGACAUCGACACCUAGAGUUUUGAAAUCUAUUCCUAGUAAAAUAUCUACCAUAAAAAAUUGUACGAUAGUUGAAAUAACGUACAGCAAUGCUGUCAUCAAAAAGAUAAACACCAAAAAGUUUCCUUUGUGGAAUC